UUGCCUAACUGAGCUGAAUGAGCAUUGACUGCAUGACUCGGUGGACGGUCGCAGAAGAAAAACGUUGAAAAUUACACUUUUGUUGACGGUGAAUUUUGAUUUAUAUUGUAUGGUCACAUUCAGCAACUUGUGAAUUCAGCGGUACUCCAAGUAAAUUUCAGAAAUGGUGUUAGAUGUGAUGCCUCUAUGCGCGUGUAGCUGCCACAGAAUAUCUGCCUUGUUGACAAUGCUUUUCUUCAUUUGGCUUGGAGAAAGUGUCGUCUGCUACGCUUUAGAAAAUUCUUAUGAAAGAUUGUCAAACGGUGUGCCUUCCAGUGAAGUACCAUGUUUUCUCUCAACCUCUGAUGUGAUAUUAUCCAGGAAGAGUGCAAAUCAAGGAUUUCACAGGAGUGUUCUAACCAAUAUGAGUGCUGUUGUUGAGUCUUCCUGUGACCAGUGUAGGUUUAUGCUCCUAGAACACAUGCCUGAAGGGAUGUAUGUAGAUCCUUAUCGACUCAAAACAUUGCAGGAAUUUGGCGCUCCAGCAGUAUUAACCCUUGAUGAGAUAGAUGUAGAGAAGCCUGAGCAUCUCUCUCCCAACCACACAAUAGCUAUCUAUACACCUCACAUCAAACCAUCUACCAGUGAUCACAUGACUGGUCACAUGACUGGUCACAUGACUGCAUUCAUCGAUCUACCAGCUCAUCUCAGGUACCAUGCACCAUCCUAUGACCCGGAAGUGAAUCAUGCAGAGGUCUAUCUGACACCUCCUGAGCUCUUCAUGCACUGCACAGUGUGCCCUUCAGAUGCUUGUUCUAAUGACACAGGAUUGAUCCAAGCACCAUGCACAGCAGCUAAUCACACACUCUGCGCAUGGACACCACUGGAUUAUACCAUGGAAACAUAUGAAGAACUUGACUUCAGAGUACCAGUAGGACAGGAAAGGCAUAGCUUAACAGUGACUGUAGUAACUCUCUUAGCUAUCACCAUAGCAAUGAUUGCUCUUCUUGUUGCUAUGACAAUGAACAAGCAGAUCAAGGGAAUGAAGCAAAGAUGAUACCGACUAGCAAUAACUUCAGCACCACAUGUCUAAUAAUUGGACGGUGGGCAAUGUAGUGACAAUGAAAUCACAUGAUGAAUUGUCAGCAGUUGCAGUCCAGUGUAAUGUUUGAAUUGGACUUGGAAGAUUUCCAAAAUGUAUAUUGAAUAAUAAAAGUGCAGAGGACCUCGUGAUACCUUGUGAUAUCAAACUCAUCAGAAAUAACCUUGUACUGAAAAUGUUGCUGUAACCGAAUGAAUAUAAAGGACCGGGACAGCAAAACAAAUCCUUGCUGCAAGGGUUUGAUGUCUAACAGCAUUUCUUUUAUAGUGCGGUUCUACCUACACAUUGUGAAUGUGUCACUUAUUGAAUGCUAAAGAAAUAUUUUUAAGGCUGAAGUGCAGUAGACAUUCAAGUUAUUCAUGGUUGUAAUUUUAAGACAUAUAUGCAAAGUUAAGUAAAAGAGUGAUAUCAAUCUCGGGUAAAUUGGCAUCGAUUAUAAAUUUUUUUCUUCUUCAAUGUAUUCAAACUUAAUUCUUGACAGACAGUUGGUUUGAGCCUUCAUCCAAAUUGCAAGAAUGAAUUACAUAUUGUUCUGAAGAGGUAAGUAAGUUUAGGGGACCUGUAACCAUUCAUAUACCUACCUGUAAUAGUUCUUAUUUCAAUGGAAGAACACCAGGACAUGAUUGAACAAAGCUCAAUUCAUACUUAUGACUACAUGGAAAGAGAGAGAAAACAAAACAAGUUCUGAACUUAUGUUUAUUAUUUAUAAAAGAUAGCAAAUUUUAAUUUGUUGUGUUUUUUCAAAACAUUUUAUAUCAUGAAAAUAUUCACAUUACAUAAUCAUAGAAAAGCACACAUUCAAACUGUCCAGAUCACAGGGGCCUAGUGUAAUAUGAUAUAGUAUACUAUAUGCAUAACUCCACUUGUAAAGAGUUUUGUAACAUGUGGAUUUACAGUUACCUGAAGCUUUACAAAGUAUUAUAUGUAAUCAUUUGCAUUAACAUUUAAGUAGUAAGAUCAAAUGUAUCUAUUGCCAUCAGUUUUUCAAAAAUAUACACCAACGGUUGUCACAAUCAACAUGUGCAUUGAUCUGUUCUAAGGUAUCAUUCAAAGAAAAAGUGGAAUAUGUUGAUCAAAAUAAUUUUAUAAAAGGAACAACAACAGAUAUAAUUCAAUAUUUUCUAAAAAUGUUAGAUUGGGAAAUGAAGAUGCCUCUUUAUGUGUAUACAAUUAUAAAUAUGAGAGUUAUGAUACAUCUACUUUCAAAAAGUAGGUCACAAUGCUAUCAUCAGGAUACAAUAGGAAAACAAGUAUAGUAUAAAAAUAAGCCUACAGGUACUGUAUAAUAUAAAAAAUAGUGAUACUAAGUUAAUUUUGUCAUGAAAUCUUUAUAUAAACACAUGUUUUACAAAAUAAACCUACUUUUUUUAAUUGUAUUAAUACCAUAACCUAUACAAAACUAGUUAGUAAUAAAGCAAUCAAAGGUUUAAAGCA